UACACGACAAAGGCAUUGCAUUUCUCACAUGUCUGGACAGAGGUGUAGGCUACAAUGACUGCGUUAGUAAAGUCCUGCUUCUGGAGCUCAAACAUUCGUCUAUGGACCUCCUCAUAUCUCAGAUUCACCAGCUGGAUCAGCACAUAUUUGGAAACAGAUCCAUAAUUUUCAGCAUGGAUGGAUUUACCCUCUCAGAGUCUGAGUAAGAGCACUAAAGGGGACCAAUGAAGACUAAGACUUCUGAAGUCUGCAAAAGGUAUGAAAUGAAGUAAAUCGGAUGACACUCUGGAUGACCACUCAAAAUGUUCAUAAAGGGUUGAGAGGCACGUGGACGUCUGACAGCACAUCACAUCGUGCAUUAUAAUCUUUUGUAAUAAAACAGAUUCCGUCAUCAUAACAUGCAAUUGAUGCAAAUAAGAAAAUGGAAAUAUGUAAAUGUUUAAAAUGUGUAAAUGUUAAAAAAUGUUUUAAUAAAUAAAAAUUAUAAACAAAAA